rnacentral:rRNA from 1 species
AACGAACGCUGGCGGCGUGCCUAAUACAUGCAAGUCGAACGUGAAAUGAGUAGCAAUACUUGUGGAAAGUGGCGAACGGGUGAGUAACACGUAAGUAAUCUACCUUUAAGUUUGGGAUAACCUUGCCAACGCGGGGCUAAUACCGGAUGUGAUCAGUGGGGCGCAUGUUUUACUGAUUAAAGGAGUGAUCCGCUUAAAGAUGAGCUUGCGGCCCAUUAGUUAGUUGGCGGGGUAACGGCCCACCAAGACCGCGAUGGGUAGCCGGCCUGAGAGGGUGUACGGCCACAUUGGGACUGAGAUACGGCCCAGACUCCUACGGGAGGCUG